AUUGAACGCUGGCGGAAUGCUUUACACAUGCAAGUCGAACGGUAGAGGGGGCAACCCCUUGAGAGUGGCGAACGGGUGAGUAAUAUAUCGGAACGUGCCCAGUCGUGGGGAUAACGUAGCGAAAGUUACGCUAAUACCGCAUACGAUCUAAGGAUGAAAGCGGGGGACUCGCAAGAGCCUCGCGCGAUUGGAGCGGCCGAUAUCAGAUUAGGUAGUUGGUGGGGUAAAGGCUCACCAAGCCAACGAUCUGUAGCUGGUCUGAGAGGACGACCAGCCACACUGGAACUGAGACACGGUCCAGACUCCUACGGGAGGCAGCAGUGGGGAAUUUUGGACAAUGGACGCAAGUCUGAUCCAGCCAUUCCGCGUGCAGGAUGAAGGCCCUCGGGUUGUAAACUGCUUUUGUACGGAACGAAAAGGUUUGUCUUAAUACGAUGAGCUCAUGACGGUACCGUAAGAAUAAGCACCGGCUAACUACGUG
rnacentral:rRNA from 1 species